GACGAACGCUGGCGGCGUGCUUAACACAUGCAAGUCGAACGAUGAAGCCCAGCUUGCUGGGUGGAUUAGUGGCGAACGGGUGAGUAACACGUGAGUAACCUGCCCUUGACUCUGGGAUAAGCACUGGAAACGGUGUCUAAUACCGGAUAUUUCAGCUGGCCGCAUGGUCUGGUUGUGGAAAGAAUUUUGGUCAAGGAUGGACUCGCGGCCUAUCAGGUAGUUGGUGAGGUAAUGGCUCACCAAGCCUACGACGGGUAGCCGGCCUGAGAGGGUGACCGGCCACACUGGGACUGAGACACGGCCCAGACUCCUACGGGAGGCAGCAGUGGGGAAUAUUGCACAAUGGGCGAAAGCCUGAUGCAGCAACGCCGCGUGAGGGACGACGGCCUUCGGGUUGUAAACCUCUUUUAGUAGGGAAGAAGCGAAAG
rnacentral:rRNA from 1 species